UCCUUUCCAAUCAUGACUUCACCGUGGAGGGAUUAUUUGUCAUUCUGAGAGACAUUUUUAUUGUGGCUAUACAGUCCAUGUCUCCGUAACAGGCUUGGCUACAUUUUGCUUUUAAAUGGCAAAUGAAGCUGUUUGCAUAUGUUUGCAUGUAUUAAAAAUAUAUGGAUGCUGGGAACACCAAUUUGUGGCUCAGCAACUUGAAAUCUUGUUGACUUUGACUAAUAUUUUCCUGUCAACCGUAACUCGAUUCUGAUUGGCCCGGUGCACAUGAUAUGACUGAAAUUUAGUCUCCUCCACUGCACACCAAGCAAUUAAGCACUGCACAUUUAAAAACGCGCAGUCACUGAAAUGUCUUGAACACAUUUAAAAUAAUACUAAACUUGGUUGAAAAUGUCUAGAAGUCUGCUCUCCCUAAUUAUAACUCCAACGCACCAACCAGAAAGGAAGGGUCUGCUUCACUUGGGACAAAUACACCUGAAAUGAGCGGUCCAAUAACCGCCUGGGCCACUGAAGUAUUUCUACUGAACACUAAUUCUGUUUUUCUUUCU